rnacentral:rRNA from 1 species
GUGUCAGCCGCCGCGGUAAUACAGAGGCCCCAAGCGUUAGGCGGAAUCACUGGGCUUAAAGCGUGUGUAGGUGGAUGCCUAAGUACCUUGUGAAAUCCCACGGCUUAACCAUGGAAUUGCUUGGUAUACUGGGUGUCUUGAGCCACUCAGGGGCUACCGGAACAAACGGUGGAGCGGUGAAAUGCGUAGAUAUCGUUUGGAACGCCAAUGGUGAAAACAGGUAGCUGGGGGUGUGCUGACACUGAGACACGAAAGCCAGGGGAGCAAACGGGAUUAGAAACCCGCGUAGUCC